CAUAGUUGCGAUCCCGGGAUCUUGCUUCCUCUUUGGUUGGAGAUUCGGUAGAGAAUCUUAGUGCGUGGGACUUGGUGAACCCGACAGUGUAGCUCGGAGCCAGCUAGGAGGAGCAAGUCCUAGCCAUGUGCACAUGUUUUCUAUAGUAGCG